UGAGUACGAGAUGCUACGGCAUCGAAGCAGUCUAUGUCAUACUUCCAAGAAAAGCUUGCACUGUCAUAAACAAAGAAUGCCUGUACCAUAACCGACACAGGUGGGUAGGUAGAGUAUACUAAGGGGCGCGAGAUAACUCUCUCUAAGGAACUCGGCAAAAUGACUCCGUAACUUCGGGAGAAGGAGUGCCUUAUUUCUAAGGUUGCAAUAACAAGAUCCAAGCAACUGUUUACCAAAAACACAGGUCUCCGCUAAGUCGUAAGACGAUGUAUGGGGGCUGACGCCUGCCCAGUGCCAGAAGGUUAAAGAAGUUGGUUAGCAUUAGCGAAGCUGAUAACUGAAGCCCUGGUGAACGGCGGCCGUAACGAUAACGGUCCUAAGGUAGCGAAAUUCCUUGUCGGGUAAGUUCCGACCCGCACGAAAGGCGUAAUGAUUUGGAUACUGUCUCGGAGAGGGGCUCGGUGAAAUAGACUUGUCUGUGAAGAUGCGGACUACCUGCACCUGGACAGAAAGACCCUAUGAAGCUUUACUGUAACUUGAGAUUGAAAUUGGACUUUAUUUGCGCAGUAUAGGUGGGAGGCGUUGAGAAUAAUCUUGCGGGAUUGUUGGAGCCAUCAGUGAGAUACCACUCUUGUAAUGUUAGAUUUCUAACUUUGUAUCAUUAUCUGGUCAAAGAACAGUUUCAGGCGGGCAGUUUGACUGGGGCGGUCGCCUCCCAAAGGGUAACGGAGGCGCACAAAGGUUUCCUCUGAACGGGUAGAAAUCGUAUCUAGAGUGUAAAGGCAUAAGGAAGCUUGACUGUGAGACCUACAAGUCGAGCAGGGACGAAAGUCGGUCUUAGUGAUCUGACGGUGCUGAGUGGAAAGGCCGUCACUCAACGGAUAAAAGUUACUCUAGGAUAACAGGCUGAUCUCCCCCAAGAGUUCACAUCGACGGGGAGGUUUGGCACCUCGAUGUCGGCUCAUCGCAUCCUGGGGCGGUAGUCCGUCCCAAGGGUUGGGCUGUUCGCCCAUGAAAGCGGUACGCGAGCUGGGUUCAGAACGUCGUGAGACAGUUCGGUCCAUAUCCGGUGUAGGCGUUAGAAUAUUGAGAGGAGCCUUCUCUAGUACGAGAGGACCGAGAAGGACAUACCUCUGGUGUACCAGUUAUCGUGCCAACGGUAAACGCUGGGUAGCUAUGUAUGGAGUGGAUAACCGCUGAAAGCAUCUAAGUGGGAAGCCCACCUCAAGAUAAGUAUUCUCAUC
rnacentral:rRNA from 1 species